rnacentral:rRNA from 1 species
CCUACGGGAGGCAGCAGUGGGGGAUAUUGGACAAUGGGGGAAACCCUGAUCCAGCGACGCCGCGUGAGUGAAGAAGUAUUUCGGUAUGUAAAGCUCUAUCAGCAGGGAAGAAAGAAAGGACGGUACCUGAGUAAGAAGCCCCGGCUAACUACGUGCCAGCAGCCGCGGUAAUACGUAGGGGGCAAGCGUGAGCCGGAUUUACUGGGUGUAAAGGGAGCGUAGACGGGAAGGCAAGUCUGAGGUGAAAGGCGGGGGCCCAACCCCCGGACUGCUUUGGAAACUGUGUAACUGGAGUGCAGGAGAGGCAGGCGGAAUUCGUGGUGUAGCGGGGAAAUGCGUAGAUAUGAGGAGGAACACCAGUGGCGAAGGCGGCCUGCUGGACUGUAACUGACGUUGAGGCUCGAAAGCGUGGGGAGCAAACAGGAUUAGAUACCCCAGUAGUC